UAAUAUCUUCAAUUAGGCGGAAUUAGGGAUAAGUCUUCCUCUCAAAUCACUGAAAAGCAAUCUUUGUUAAAAAAAGAUUUACAGUAUACAUUCCAGAAAUUAUGAUUGCCCAGGGUUUUAUUUGACCAACAGUGGCAACAUUGGUUAAAAUUGCUGUGAUACUGAAAAAAAAACAAGAGAAAAAUGGGGAUUGCGCGAUCUCUCAAAGGAAUUUUGUUGCUUGUGGUGCUGGUGUUGAUUUUUGUGAGUUCUGGUAAUCCUCUUGACAUGAUCAAAGUAAGGUUAUUUUACAAUCUUUGUAAAUCUGCAAGCUGUUGCUGACGUUGUGAGACAUAACUAUAUAAUGCACAGUGGCGUGUAGCCAGCCUACACGUUUUGUCGUGAUUUUUGAUGAAAGAUUUCUUUCUAAUUUAGGCCUGCUUUGAAAUGACGCUGAAAUGUUUAAGCUGGCUUUCACCAAAUUAGUAGUUUGACUCUUACUACUUUGACGCACUAUUGACUUUGUGUCUUGACGAAUGUGAAUUGAAAAUUUAAUUAAAUUGGAUAUGCUAUCAACAACAGUUUUUUCAAAUUACGUAAUCACAUAUCACUAUAAGUAAGUAUACUUUUUAUGCAAUCGUGCAAUUUCAAAUUAUUCUUAAGACUGACUCAGUUAUUUCAUCUUAAAAAGCCGAUCUCUAAACCGUUUUAUUGAUACAAUGGAAUAAUAAUAAUCGAAACGAAAAUCACCGGAUAACGAUAAACUCUGUUGUACCAGUAGAAACCUGCUAUUUGACUUGUAUUUUAGUUGAUAAAUAUUUUCAUCUUUUGUUCUUUGCUCUUGGACAAGCUGAAUUGUAAACGUCUGAAAUUCACAUCUUGAUAUCUCAAUAUUAUUGUUUGAAUUUCUGUUUUGGACUGUUUCUGAAUAAUUGUGUUUAAAAUUUUUUUAUGCUGACAUGACAGUGUAGAUGAAACGGGACAUUAAUCUUAUCAAAAUGAAAAAUAUUAGAUUUGUUUUACUACUAUUUACAACUCUUAUUUUUUGUCAUUUUUCAACCAGCAAAGUUUGUCGUCGAAGGAAUGCUUCAAAGUUUAAAAGAAGUUUGAAACUUGCCAUAUCAUCUGAUGAUAUCAAUAAUCGCCAUAAAGUUGGACUCAGAAAAGUAUUUCGACAAAAAAGACAUGCAGACAUAGAUGACGAUGUACCAGAAUCCGAUAAAUUCUUCAUAGAAAUUAAAUUUCUUGAGAAAUGGAAUCCAGCAAUGGAUUUAAAAGAUGGAAGUGCGUAUCGCUUGUUUCAGGGAAAUGUUCUUGAUGCGAUUUUGGAACAACUGAAUUCUGACCAAAAAUUCCUUGACUCCAAAGUUUUAGAUUUAAGAAAAGCUUCCGAUGGUAUUCUAGCUAAAGUAGCAUUUCAAUUCAGAAAAAGCGAACGAAAUCCUUUAUCACAUGUUCGUUUUAUUGUCAGCCAUGGACAUAUUUCAAGUCUUAAAGUCGAUGAAAAUUAUUUGAAAAUUUUAAAAAUACCAGAUAAUCUUUUCAAAGAAGAGUCUUUUAGUGAAGUUAAUCCGACACCAAAUCCAAGUCAAGAUAAGAAAAUUACUGAAAAAGUUCCAUCACAUAUCGUUAACUACCCUCCAUCUCUUGUGACAGUUACGUCAAACUCAACUUCAUCACAAAAUCAAACAAAACUUCCUGCCCAGGCUUCUCAGAGCGAGGCUUACACGGCAACACUUCAAACUAAAGAACCACUUCAAACUAAAGAACCACUUCAAACUGAAGAACCACUUCAAACUAAAGAACCACUUCAAACUAAAGAACCACUUCAAAAUUUGGCAUUUACUCAAAAUCAAAAAAAUUAUUCAGGCCAAACACAACCGGAAAAUCUCAAUUUUUUCAAUGAUGCUUCUUAUCAAGACACUCUAUAUCAGAAUCAAAAACUGCCGCAGAUAGAUGCAACACCUUUAAUACUGGAAACGCUACAUCACGAAGAAAACACAGAUGUAAACACACAACAAACACCAGGUUUAUUAGAAAAUGCAGCCAACGUUCAAGAUUCUGGAUCAGAAUAUUCUUCAAAUGACAAGUACGAUGCACAACAACCGUCAUAUCAGUAUAACAAUGUCGAUCUAUCUAGUCAGACAGCUUCCACUAAUAGGAAAGUUGGGUUAGAAUAUGAUUCAAGUUAUGAAAACGAUCCACAACAACGGUCAUACCAGAAUAACAUUAACGAUCUUUCUAGUGAAGCGGCUCCUGCCAAUACAACAGCGAGUAUUGUGAUCAAAAUAAAUCAAGCCUGGUAUUCAUUCCUUGGGAAUCAUGACAGUCCACAGUACAAAAUGCUUGCGGGCAACUUUGAGAAAGGACUUGCAUCAGUGUUAGAAGAUGAUGCAAAUAUUGAGGACGUAAAGUGACAGAUUUGAUGGAGGAUGAAAAAGUCUGACAAAUGUCGAAUUUUCUUUAAAAUUCGUUGGUGCAAAGGAAGCAUCAAUACAAAGAUUGAAAGAAAUUGUGAAUGAUGGUGACAUUGCUGGCAUUUCGGUUGAUAAGAAAUUCUUCAAGGUAAUAGUGAGAUAAAGAACAGAAAUGUAUACAUCGGAGGUGACCAAUAAUCCUAAAAGUAUGAAGAAUACAAAUAAACAAAUGUAAAAGAUAAGUGCAAAAAUUUUAUUUAGAACAUUACAUGUGAUGCGUGUUUUGUUAGUUUAUCACUUACACUAAGAAAUUUGAACCCAACAUUAAUCUGUUACUGGCAAGGGCAACUAAAAAGUAGACAAAAAGACAACUGCCAUUUGUGAAAUAUUAUUCAAUAAUAUUUACUUGUGGUUACUUGUCCUACACUGACACCAUUAAAAAUGUUAUAUUGCUAUGCAAAUAAGUUUAAAUGUAGGUUAACAUAUUUACUAUACAUUGUCUACAAGAUAGACAGUAAAAAAAUUACAUCGAGUUUUCCCUUAA